rnacentral:rRNA from 1 species
AGCAUAUCAAUAAGCGGAGGAAAAGAAACCAACAGGGAUUGCCUCAGUAACGGCGAGUGAAGCGGCAAUAGCUCAAAUUUGAAAUCUGGCUCUUUUAGGGUCCGAGUUGUAAUUUGUAGAGGAUGUUUCGGCUUACGCCCCGGUCUAAGUUCCUUGGAACAGGACGUCACAGAGGGUGAGAAUCCCGUUUGUGGCCGGCGGCUUCUGCCAUGUGAAGCUCCUUCGACGAGUCGAGUUGUUUGGGAAUGCAGCUCUAAAUGGGAGGUAUAUUUCUUCUAAAGCUAAAUACCGGCCAGAGACCGAUAGCGCACAAGUAGAGUGAUCGAAAGAUGAAAAGCACUUUGGAAAGAGAGUUAAAAAGUACGUGAAAUUGUUGAAAGGGAAGCGCUUGCGACCAGACUUGCCCGCGGAUGCUCAACCGGUCCUUCGGCCGGUGCACUCUUCCGCGGUCAGGCCAGCAUCAGUUUAGGCGGUUGGAUAAAGGCCUUGGGAAUGUAUCUCCUCUCGGGGAGUGUUAUAGCCCUUGGUGCAAUACAACCUGCCUGGACUGAGGCCCGCGCUUCGGCUAG